rnacentral:rRNA from 1 species
GACGAACGCUGGCGGCGUGCUUAACACAUGCAAGUCGAACGGAAAGGCCCUGCUUUUGUGGGGUGCUCGAGUGGCGAACGGGUGAGUAACACGUGAGUAACCUGCCCUUGACUUUGGGAUAACUUCAGGAAACUGGGGCUAAUACCGGAUAGGAGCUCCUGCUGCAGGGUGGGGGUUGGAAAGUUUCGGCGGUUGGGGAUGGACUCGCGGCUUAUCAGCUUGUUGGUGGGGUAGUGGCUUACCAAGGCUUUGACGGGUAGCCGGCCUGGGAGGGUGACCGGCCACAUUGGGACUGAGAUACGGCCCAGACUCCUACGGGAGGCAGCAGUGGGGAAUAUUGCACACUGGGCGGAAGCCUGAUGCAGCAACGCCGCGUGCGGGAUGACGGCCUUCGGGUUGUAAACCGCUUUCGCCUGUGACGAAGCGUGAGUGACGGUAAUGGGUAAAGAAGCACCGGCUAACUACGU